GUGAGGAGGGUGAGGAGGAGGUGGAUGAUGAGGACGAGGAGGUGGGUGACAGUGAGGAGGAGGUGGAGGGUGCGGAGGAGGUGGAGGGUGAGGUGGAUGAGGAUGAGAAGGGUGAGGAGGUGGAGGACGAGGAGGGUGACAGUGAGGAGGUGUUGAUGGCCUCCUCCUCCUCCCACGUCGUCCUCAAGCGCCAGCGGAGCCUCACGGGGCGAGGCAGCCCCACGGAGCAGGAGAGAAAGAGCCCCGUCUUCAACCAAGGAGUGUGGUACGAGAAAAAAAGACGCAGUUCGCGGACACUGUCCAGCUCAAAGAGAUUGUUUCUGGAUCCGUACUCGUCCUCCGAAGACAGCGACAAUGACGACAACUUCC